rnacentral:rRNA from 1 species
UACAGAGGUCCCGAGCGUUGUUCGGAUUCACUGGGCGUAAAGGGUGCGCAGGUGGGUUGGCAAGUUUGAUGUGAAAGCCCCGGGCUUAACCCGGGAAUGGCAUUGAAUACUGUCGAUCUGGGGGAUUGGAGGGGGGACUGGAAUUCUUGGUGUAGCAGUGAAAUGCGCAGAUAUCAGGAGGAACACCGAUGGCGAAGGCAGCUCGCUGGGACGGUACUGACGCUGAGGCGCGAAAGCGUGGGGAGCAAACAGG